rnacentral:rRNA from 1 species
CUAACUUUACAGUCAAUUUUUUCUUAACUUACACAUGCAAGCCUCCCCGCCCCCNUGAGUAUCUAUUUUCCCNNCCAGGGGAUUGAUAGAAANGGUAUCAGGCACAACACNUUGCCCAAAACACCUAGCAACAGUCACACCCAUAAGGGCCACAGCNGUGAUUAAUAUUGAAUAUAAGUGCCAACUUGAUUCAGUCAAAGCAAAACAGGGCCGGCCAAGUUGGUGCCAGCCGCCGCGGUUACACCAGAGGCCCGAGUUGACUUUCCCUCGGCNUAGAGCGUGGUUAAAGCUNCAUAAAAUUGGGAUCAAAUUAAAAUUAGGCGGUAACAUGCCUGUUCUUAAGAAGCCCCCAAACGAAAGUUAUUCCAAUUUCUAUAACUUGAACCCACGAUAGCCAGAGCACAAACUAGGAUUAGAUACCCUACUAUGUCUGCCCCUAAACCUUAAA